UACGUAGGGGGCAAGCGUUGUCCGGAUUUAUUGGGCGUAAAGAGCGUGUAGGCGGCCUGACAGGUCUGCUGUGAAAACUCGAGGCUCAACCUCGAGAUGUCGGCGGAAACCGUAUGGCUAGAGUCCGGAAGAGGAGAGUGGAAUUCCUGGUGUAGCGGUGAAAUGCGCAGAUAUCAGGAAGAACACCUAUGGCGAAGGCAGCUCUCUGGGACGGUACUGACGCUGAGACGCGAAAGCGUGGGGAGCGAACAGG
rnacentral:rRNA from 1 species